rnacentral:rRNA from 1 species
GAUUGUAGUAGUCAAGCGAUGGGGUGACGCAGGAAGGUAGCUGGGCCAGGUGAUGGAAUACCUGGUGUAAGCCGGUAGGGCGAAUGGUAGGCAAAUCCGCCAUUCAUGCAGCCUGAGAGGUGAUGCGUACCCGUUGAGGGGAAUUCAGUGAUCCUAUGCUGCCGAGAAAAGCCUCUAGUGAGUUGGUACACGGCCCGUACCCCAAACCGACACAGGUGGUCAGGUAGAGAAUACCGAGGCGAUCGAGAGAACUGUGGUUAAGGAACUCGGCAAAAUGCCCCCGUAACUUCGGGAGAAGGGGGACCACGCUCGGUGACCGGACUUGCUCCGUGAGCUGGGGGUGGUCGCAGAGACCAGAGAGAAGCGACUGUUUACUAAAAACACAGGUCCGUGCGAAGUCGUAAGACGAUGUAUACGGACUGACGCCUGCCCGGUGCUGGAAGGUUAAGAGGACCGGUUAGUGGAGUUCACUCCGCGAAGCUGAGAAUUUAAGCCCCAGUAAACGGCGGUGGUAACUAUAACCAUCCUAAGGUAGCGAAAUUCCUUGUCGGGUAAGUUCCGACCUGCACGAAUGGCGUAACGACUUCUCUGCUGUCUCGACCACAGACUCGGCGAAAUUGCAUUACGAGUAAAGAUGCUCGUUACGCGCGGCAGGACGAAAAGACCCCGGGACCUUCACUAUAGCUUGGUAUUGGUGUUCGGUUCGGUUUGUGUAGGAUAGGUGGGAGACUGUGAAGCUCAUACGCCAGUAUGGGUGGAGUCGUUGUUGAAAUACCACUCUGAUCGUAUUGGACCUCUAACCUCGGACCAUGAUCUGGUUCAGGGACAGUGCCUGGUGGGUAGUUUAACUGGGGCGGUUGCCUCCCAAAAUGUAACGGAGGCGCCCAAAGGUUCCCUCAGCCUGGUUGGCAAUCAGGUGUCGAGUGCAAGUGCACAAGGGAGCUUGACUGUGAGACUGACAGGUCGAGCAGGGACGAAAGUCGGGACUAGUGAUCCGGCACCGGCAUGUGGAAGCGGUGUCGCUCAACGGAUAAAAGGUACCCCGGGGAUAACAGGCUGAUCUUCCCCAAGAGUCCAUAUCGACGGGAUGGUUUGGCACCUCGAUGUCGGCUCGUCGCAUCCUGGGGCUGGAGUAGGUCCCAAGGGUUGGGCUGUUCGCCCAUUAAAGCGGCACGCGAGCUGGGUUUAGAACGUCGUGAGACAGUUCGGUCUCUAUCCGCCGCGCGCGUUAGAAACUUGAGGAAGGCUGUCCCUAGUACGAGAGGACCGGGACGGACGAACCUCUGGUGUGCCAGUUGUCCCGCCAGGGGCAUGGCUGGUUGGCUACGUUCGGAAGGGAUAACCGCUGAAAGCAUCUAAGCGGGAAGCCUGUUCCAAGAUGAGGUUUCUCACCCCCUCGAGGGGGUAAGGCCCCCGGCAGACCACCGGGUUGAUAGGCCGGAACUGGAAGCCCAGCAAUGGGUGGAGGUGACCGGUACUAAUAGGCCGAGGACUUACCACG